GCCUCGCAGCCCUCACUGCCCCUGGAGCCGCCGGUUCGAGUCCCGCGCCCGCGCCCCGCCCGGCUGAGAUGCCAACACUGGGGUGAGCAGCGACAGCGACAGGAGAGCAGGAGCCCAUGCUGCUGAGGGAACACGGCAGUGACGAGCCGGGUCGGAGCCACUCGGGGCUGGUGGCAGGAGCAGCUGAGCCCGGGGACAAGGAGAGUGUGGGAACUCCGAGUGGACUAGAGGAGGGGAGUUCCCGGUUGGUGCGUGAGCAGGACCCGGAGCAGCCUGAGCCGAGCUGAGCCAAGCUGAGCCGAGCUGAGCCGAGCCGA